AUGCCUGUGAUUCACAAGGUGGAUAAGCGCUUGUCUGGAUGGCUUGCAACCUUACUAUCCUGGGGAGGGCGUCUCACGUUGAUUAAUGCUGUCCUGGCAGCCAUCCCUAGCUACUACAUGGGCUGCUUCUUAUGGCCAAGUCAGUCUUUGGAGAAAGUUGAUCAAAUUUUGAGGGGUUUUCUUUGGCAAGGAAAGAAUAAGGCCAAUGGGGGGCACUGCCUGGUAGCUUGGGAUGUGGUCAUGCUGCCAAAGGAGAAUGGAGGGCUGGGGGUCGGAAACCUUGCAGCACACAAUAAGGCGGUAUGCAAGUUUAUGGCACUACAACAUGAGGAUAUACCGUGUUACAGUUGGUUUGUGCGGACAUACUGUUAG
rnacentral:rRNA from 1 species